GACGAACGCUGGCGGCGUGCUUAACACAUGCAAGUCGAACGGAAAGGCCUCUUUCGGGGGGUACUCGAGUGGCGAACGGGUGAGUAACACGUGAGUAACCUGCCCUUGACUUUGGGAUAACUUCAGGAAACUGGGGCUAAUACCGGAUAGGAGCUCCUGCUGCAUGGUGGGGGUUGGAAAGUUUCGGCGGUUGGGGAUGGACUCGCGGCUUAUCAGCUUGUUUGUGGGGUAGUGGCUUACCAAGGCUUUGACGGGUAGCCGGCCUGAGAGGGUGACCGGCCACAUUGGGACUGAGGUACGGCCCAGACUCCAACGGGAGGCAGCAGUGGGAAAUAUUGCACAAUGGGUGGAAGCCUGAUGCAGCAACGCCGUGUUCGGGAUGACGUCCUUCGGGUUGUAAACCGCUUUCGCUCAUGACGAAGCUUUGUGUGACGGUAGUGGGUAAAGAAGCACCGGCUAACUACGU
rnacentral:rRNA from 1 species